UACGAAGGGUGCAAGCGUUAAUCGGAAUUACUGGGCGUAAAGCGUGCGUAGGCGGUUGUUUAAGUCUGCUGUGAAAUCCCCGGGCUCAACCUGGGAAUGGCAGUGGAUACUGGGCAGCUAGAGUGUGUCAGAGGAUGGUGGAAUUCCCGGUGUAGCGGUGAAAUGCGUAGAGAUCGGGAGGAACAUCAGUGGCGAAGGCGGCCAUCUGGGACAACACUGACGCUGAGGCACGAAAGCGUGGGGAGCAAACAGG
rnacentral:rRNA from 1 species